UCGCGGCUUAUCACCGGCAGUCCCCUUAGAGUGCCCAACUGAAUGAUGGCAACUAAGGGCGAGGGUUGCGCUCGUUGCGGGACUUAACCCAACAUCUCACGACACGAACUGACGACAGCCAUGCAGCACCUGUGUGUAGGUCCCGUAAGGGAAGGAAUCCAUCUCUGGAAACCGUCCUACCAUGUCAAACGCUGGUAAGGUUCUGCGCGUUGCUUCGAAUUAAACCGCAUGCUCCACCGCUUGUGCAGGCCCCCGUCAAUUUCUUUGAGUUUUAACCUUGCGACCGUACUCCCCAGGCGGGAUGCUUAACGCGUUAGCUGCGGCACAGCGGGAUUGGGUACCCGCUACACCAAGCAUCCAUAGUUUAGGGCUAGGACUAC
rnacentral:misc_RNA from 1 species